GUCUCGUAAUUUGGGUUACUGUGUAGGUGGCCUCUUUCAUCUAUUCAUAACAAAGCUAAGCCUCCUGCCGCCGCCACCACCAAAGCCCCUUAGCUCGCCCGGGGCUCCCGGGGCGCGUUAACAGCGCACCAAGCUGGCUCCGGCGCCUGUCCGCCCGCGGGGCUGCUCCAACGCUCGGGUUUUGUUUACGAGAGCGGCGCGGAGAGAUGCGCAAGGCUCGGGGAACUAGGACCCAGGCCGCCAAAGGGUUGCAGCUGAGGCCCGGGGCUCGGGCCACUGGGAGGCUGCGUGGGCUGCUGACAGGUGUGGAGCGGCGGGAGGGAGGCCCUGGGGAGGAGCGCGAGAGAGGGAAACACUGACAAGCCCGAGGCUCAAGGAACAGAGGCGCCCCUGUGACAGGAGAUGGGUUUCCCCGGGUCAGAGGAGUGAGGUGGAGGAAAGGCAGGCGCCGAGAUUCUGGUUCUGGACAAUCCCUGGGGCCGGAGCUCCCAUACUUGAGGAGGUUCUCUCAUUUCCCUUGGCAACGGAGACCCAGGCUUUCAAACCUAGCACUUAGAAAGUUCUACUCAUCAUCUAACCUGAAUGAUCAUGGCUAAUAUUUAUUGAGUGCAUACUGCGUGCCGGGUCCCGCUUGAAAUUCAUUACGUGGAUUAAAACUCAUUUAAUACCCAUAACAACCCUGUUAGUGACUUGUUGUAAUCAGCCCCAUUUCGUUAGGAGGGGUGGAGACGUUGCGGAACUCGCCGGGGGUCCUACUGCUGGCAGACAGCAGAGUGCACCUGUGACCCACAGUAAAAGAACCACAUGGUAAAGAGCCAAAGAGGAAACCAGGAAGAAAAGGGGACCUUGGUGAUUCACAGCUCAGACAGUCAGCUCGUGAAUAGCUGAAAGCUGAUGCAGUUUUCACCAGCAAUUUGAGGAUCAAAUGAUUCCAUAUUUCACAAUUGAACUGCAUUUGAGGUUUUUGUUAAGGUCACGGACCCCAGUUAGAAA
ensembl:lncRNA